rnacentral:lncRNA from 1 species
GUCAGAGACAUUGCGGAGGUAAAAGUUGAGUGUGAGGCCCGUUCUCCCCUGCGCCUGACAGAAAAGGCCCCAUCUGUUGGGUAGAAAUUAGAUUUAAUCACACUUGAGCUUUUGGAAAGCGAUUACAUACAUGGCAAAUAUGAGGCUGAACUUACUGUCUGAUUCUUUUACUGUUGUCCAGGAACUGCCAGGACUCAGUGGCUGUGUGGCCUUCUGCCAUGUACCAGAGGAAUCCUUUGAUGCGGCUGAUCGCUGAUCCAGCAUUCUCUUUUUUUUUUCUUUGAAGGCUGCUCUCCUUCUAGUUUAUUUUUGUAAACCUUCAGGUAUUGCUCUGUGAAAACAAGAUAUUGUUUUUCAUUACAUAAACGAAGACAAAAACAAAACCCAGUUAUGUACAUACACACAAACUACCAAUUGAUGGUUGGAAAAGGAGCUUUCCCGAGCCUGAUGCACGUCCUCUGCUGCUAAACAGUUUUCUCACCAAUACUGAAGGUUCCUUCACUUGGUACCUCAGAGUCUCUGCUGGCCGCUGUUUUGCUCUUAACUGCAAAGACAGAGAUGAAUAUGGUCAUUUUUUACAGACCACAGUGCCAUAGAGCUAUGUUAAAAAAAAACAAAUAAAACCAACAAGCAUUAUUCCAGGAAAACGUCAAUGCCAAUGUAUUUAGCAACUUAAAACUGACAGUGGAGAUUAGCACACAAAUUUUGUGCAUCGAUACUUACAGUAGCAUUCUCUAUUAGACGAGAUGAUGUGCUACCCCCUCCAUCUUGCUCCUGAUGUCUUUCUGGUCCUUCCCUGCCACCCCCCUCAGACAAAUCUCCUGCUUCUCCUGCUGCUGCUCCAGCUCCUGUAUCCUCCUCAUCCGUGACUGGUACCACCGGGCCCUGAGCUGCUAAGCGCUUGCUCUUCCUAAAGUGCUAUUGUGACAGAGUUAAACAUUGUCAGCUGUGUUUACCUCACAGUGAAACUUUCUGUCACUUACAUCAAUACCUCCAUAUUGUGUCCAAACCAUGUAUUUCUUACUCACCACUGCUCCACCCUGCUCUCUUUCUGGUCCUUCCCCGCCACCUCCCUCAGACUCAGGUGACGGUGACACAGACCAAUUGGCCCACUGAGGCUGUGAAGGGCUGGAUGGUGAGACACCACCCUCCAAAUCUCCUGCUUCUCCUGCUGCUGCUGCUCCAGCUCCUGUAGCCUCCUCAUCCCUGACUGGUACCAGCGGGCCCUGAGCUGCUAAGCGCUUGCUCUUCCUAAAGUGCUAUUGUGACAGAGUUAAACAUUGUCAACGUUUACCCAACAGUGAAACCUCCAUAUUGUGGUAAGAACAAAUAUCAGCAGUAAACAAACCCUGUCCUGCAGUUAGUACUGAUGGGCUUACCUUUAGGUUUUUCUCAUGGACUUGGGCCCUCAAUCUGACAAGCUCCCCCUGUAACUUGUGAACGUUGUGCUGCAGCUUUAAGCAUCUGCUUUUCCAACAUUGCAGGGAACG